rnacentral:rRNA from 1 species
CCAAUAGCGUAUAUUAAAGUUGUUGCAGUUAAAAAGCUCGUAGUUGAAUUUCGGGGUUAGUAGGUUGGUCAUGCCUCCGGUAUGUACUGGUCUCACUGAUUCCUCCUUCCUGAUGAGCCGUAAUGCCAUUAAUUUGGUGUUGCGGGGAAUUUGGACUGUUACUUUGAAAAAAUUAGAGUGUUUAAAGCAAGCUAACGCUUGAAUCAAUUAGCAUGGAAUAAUGAAAUAGGACGUUGGAUCCUAUUUUGUUGGUUUCUAGGAUUGACGUAAUGAUUAAUAGGGAUAGUUGGGGGCAUUAGUAUUCAAUUGUCAGAGGUGAAAUUCUUGGAUUUAUUGAAGACUAACUACUGCGAAAGCAUUUGCCAAGGAUGUUUUCAUUAAUCAAGAACGAAAGUUAGGGGAUCGAAGACGAUCAGAUACCGUCGUAGUCUUAACCAUAAACUAUGCCGACUAGGGAUCGGAUGAUGUUAAUUUUUUAAUGACUCAUUCGGCGCCUUACAGGAAACCAAAGUGUUUGGUUC